AUCGAUACAGCGAGACUUCACUACCGGAACUCCUGGGCCCCAAUUCUCCAUGCAGUGGCACUUUGGUUAAACAGCACAGGAUUUACAUGUCAGGAGUCCACAGAAGCCACAGCUGUAUCUGGAGGACAGAAGCGCUCCCCGGCUGUCAGUUUAAACCAGGUUCCAGGAGCCAUGGCUAGUGCUAAACCCCUGCCAGAAGUUAACAAAGACAGAAUGCACCUGAUCCUAGGUAGGUGCCUGUGAUACAUUUCAGGUUGGCCACUGCAGAAUGCCUGUAGCUCUCAUUGUAAUGCUGUAUAAAGCCUUCUGUAGCACAAUUCAAAGAAAGAAUUAUAAAAGGACUUUUCAGCUCCACUUAUAAAAUAAAUGAAUUUUUGUCUAAAAAUCAUCCAAAACUAUUCUAAAAGAUUAGCCAUUGGGGCUGGGGAUUUAGCUCAGUGGUAGAGCGCUUACCUAGGAAGCGCAAGGCCCUGGGUUCGGUCCCCAGCUCCGAAAAAAAGAACAAAAAAAAAAAAAGAUUAGCCAUAGUGUUCAUUCACAGAACAGUAUUGAAUUUCAAGGAAAAAAAAAUCUAGGGUUUUUUAUUCAACACUUUCUUUGUAUUGUCAUUUAACAGAUUAUCCAAUGAAGAAAAAUGUUUAUGAUCUAGUUUUAAAUAAUUUUAAUCUAUAAGUGUUCUUAUUUAAGUAUUUACAUAUUCUGAAGGAAAUUUGUGAUCUUGUGUU
rnacentral:lncRNA from 1 species